UACGAAGGGGGCUAGCGUUGUUCGGAAUUACUGGGCGUAAAGGGCGCGUAGGCGGCCUGCUAAGUCGAACGUGAAAUCCCCGAGCUCAACUCGGGAACUGCGUCCGAUACUGGAUGGCUUGAAUCCGGGAGAGGGAUGCAGAAUUCCAGGUGUAGCGGUGAAAUGCGUAGAUAUCUGGAGGAAUACCGGUGGCGAAGGCGGCAUCCUGGACCGGCAUUGACGCUGAGGAGCGAAAGCCAGGGGAGCAAACGGG
rnacentral:rRNA from 1 species